rnacentral:misc_RNA from 1 species
AACUUACCUAUAACGUUGCUUCGGCGGGAACAGACGGCCCCGUAAAACGGGCCGCCCCCGCCAGAGGACCCCUAACUCUGUUUUUAUAAUGUUUUUCUGAGUAAACAAGCAAAUAAAUUAAAACUUUCAACAACGGAUCUCUUGGCUCUGGCAUCGAUGAAGAACGCAGCGAAAUGCGAUAAGUAAUGUGAAUUGCAGAAUUCAGUGAAUCAUCGAAUCUUUGAACGCACAUUGCGCCCGCCAGUAUUCUGGCGGGCAUGCCUGUUCGAGCGUCAUUACAACCCUCAGGCCUCCGGGCCUGGCGUUGGGGAUCGGCGGAGCCCCCCGUGGGCACACGCCGUCCCCCAAAUACAGUGGCGGUCCCGCCGCAGCUUCCAUUGCGUAGUAGCUAACACCUCGCAACUGGAGAGCGGCGCGGCCACGCCGUAAAACACCCAACUUCUGAA